GCAUGUUGGAAUAGACUCGAUUUGAAUAAAGUGGAGACUGUGGAGUAUAAUACUGCAGUGUCGAAAGGCAAGAAACCGCAACAUGGAAUGAUUCUUCUGGGAUCCUGCACAGCUCCGCCUUCACAGCCGUCUUGAUGUCACCCAAGUCUUCAAAGCAGUUUGCCAUCUGCCCUUGCUCCCUGCAAACCAGUGCUCACCUCUUGCGGCCCACCGACAACCUGGACUCCUACCCUGCCAGACGGUCCUCGUUGGAACCCUGCCAAUCCCGGAUCUAGUUCUCAGAGUUCCUUUGUUUGCUUCCAAUCUACAAUAAACAUUCGU